rnacentral:rRNA from 1 species
AGAGUUUGAUCAUGGCUCAGGAUGAACGCUAGCGGUAGGCUUAACACAUGCAAGUCGAGGGGCAACACGUGUAGCAAUACAUGGUGGCGACCGGCGCACGGGUGAGUAACGCGUAUGCAACCUACCUUAUACUGGGGAAUAGCUCUCGGAAACGAGGAUUAAUGUCCCAUAGUAUUAUAGAACGACAUCGUUUUAUAAUUAAAGCUACGGCGGUAUAAGAUGGGCAUGCGUGCCAUUAGGUAGUUGGCAGGGUAACGGCCUACCAAGCCUAUGAUGGUUAGGGGUUCUGCAAGGAAGGUCCCCCACACUGGUACUGAGACACGGACCAGACUCCUACGGGAGGCAGCAGUGAGGAAUAUUGGUCAAUGGACGAGAGUCUGAACCAGCCAAGUCGCGUGAAGGAAGACGGUUCUAUGAAUUGUAAACUUCUUUUGUACAGGAAUAAAGUGGAUUACGUGUAAUCUUUUGUAUGUACUGUACGAAUAAGGAUCGGCUAACUCCGUGCCAGCAGCCGCGGUAAUACGGAGGAUCCGAGCGUUAUCCGGAUUUAUUGGGUUUAAAGGGUGCGUAGGUGGAUUGAUAAGUCAGUGGUGAAAGUUUGCAGCUUAACUGUAAAAUUGCCGUUGAAACUGUCGGUCUUGAGUGCAAAUGAGGUAGGCGGAAUGUGUUGUGUAGCGGUGAAAUGCUUAGAUAUUGCACAGAACACCGAUUGCGAAGGCAGCUUACCAGGCCGUAACUGACGCUGAUGCACGAAAGCGUGGGGAUCAAACAGGAUUAGAUACCCUGGUAGUCCACGCCGUAAACGAUGAUCACUUGCUGUUGGCGAUACAUUGUCAGUGGCAAAGGGAAACCGAUAAGUGAUCC